CCAUGCCUGUUCCCUCCUGAGCCACACUAGGCAAGUCCCUUUCGAAGCAUGUAGCAUUUUCCCUGCCCAAGAGAGGAGCCCUUUUCCUACCAUAAUGGCUCUUACUAACUCACAGCAAAAUCACUUACGGUGUUAAUUCCCAAUCCUUCAGGAAUCUUUAAAUAAUUCCUUCAACUUGAGCCUCACGGGAAAUACAUUGUACUGGCAUAUCAGCCUGAAAUUGCCUGUGGCGUCAUGCCAACAUCUAGGACAGCUGCUCUGUUAUUAGACAUAGCAACAGACUUUAGCACUAUGGAGAUCAUGAACAAAUCAUACUAGCAUCUGGUAUGAAUUCUGUAUUUCAUUUCUUCAGAGAAGCCAUUUGUUUCUGCAGUUAUUGCUCUAAAAUCAGUACUCAGUCCUGCCUUACAAAAAUUCAUACCCCAGCUGUUGGCUUUAAGAGAAGGAAUCUUGAAAGGUUUGAGUUUUUGACAGUCAAGUUAAGGGUAUCCUUAAUUUAGCAGAAGGCCCUGCAAAAGGGUGCCAGGGGAUUCCCACUGUAAUGCUCAGGUUACCCCUUUUGAAAUAAAGCACCACGGAUGGCAUAACUUCAGUUGAAGGUCAGACAGUAAGGAUCCUUAACCUCUAUUCUGCACUGACUUCUCAGAUGAUGCAGGUGCUUGGAAAAUAGUUAUGGGGACGUCACAGGAAAGGGAUCUCCCCCCUCAGCAUUGGGGUUCAUAAGCAGUGUGUCCAGUUUGGAGAACUGCCCCUUCUGGGCUUCAAUAAGGAAAGGAAAAUGUUCCAACUAGUGGUCCAAGAAGGAGAGGUGAAGUGAGCAGUUUCCAGCAAGAGGUUUGUGAGGCAAAGUGACAGGGCAGUGGCUUCUUAGCAGGUGUCUUUCCAGAACAUGAUAGAACCUGGCCUUGGUGGUGUUUGUGCCUUUGGAGUCUGCCUGUACUUGCUGAAGAAUCUGGGGUACUGUCUUUACAAAGCCAUUUAGCAGAAACCUGUUCUCACAGAGAAGGGCUGUCCUGUUGGCAGGUUAUGAACAAUUGGAUGGUCUAAAGGGAGGCCCUCUUCAUUCCCACCCUCAUGGAAGAAAAAGUGAAAUCAGUCAUUCAUGCCUACGUUGGUCUGUUUUGUGCCUGGAUCUGGGAACAUGUGAGUUUGAGAAAGACAAGGGUAGCAUGGAACUGUGAAAAGGAGGGAGUCGGUCCUGCUAAGGAUCAAAAACAAAUGUGACUCAGCAAGGUGAUCAGGGAAAUAAGUACUCUUUGUGUUCCCAGGAGCCGCACCCUCCACACCCUUGCUGUCAGUUAAAGUUGACCAAAUUUGUGUCCCAGCAACAUCUCCAAGUGCAGGGCUGGCCAAGCCUAGAAACAGGACUGAGACAGGGAAGCAAGAGUGACAGCAGUGAUGGUCUGGACUCUGGUUUGUCACAGCCAAUGACACUUCAGCCUUCCCGCGGUGUAUCUGCCUAUCAAUUCCUUGCCAUCAUGCCACUGUGAAUUGAACUGAGGGGGUUAUAAUUCAAGGGUUCACUUGAGGACAUUCUGUCUGCUGGUGCUGUUAAAAUAAUAAGUGAAUAUAGAAGAAUCCCUGAAAGAGAACUUGAGACACGUAUUGUCGGCUGAAGGCCAAGCCGUGAACUGCGCCACUGAGAGGUCAGGAUCUGCCAAGAUCUGAAAGAUGAAGAAGAGAACUUGGGGGGCAUGUCCCCUUAACUCAGACCACGACCAAAAUAUACAUAUGACGGGCACCGAUGCCCACACCGUGUCCUCCACUCUGCCUCCAUGGGCUCGUGAGGAGGCCAUCAGUCGUGGCCGGGUGAUGAUGAGGAGCCACAGAGCCGGUAUGCGUCCAUUGGGAACUGUCUUCUAGAACCAAGAAUAAGCAAGGCUUGGGAGCAGCUGGUAUUGAGAAUCUGAUUUGCUGAGAAGAUGGAGGAACUACUCACCAGGGAGUGCCCAGCUGUUCUGUCUUCUGUAGCCCGUUCCAUGGCUGUUCAUAACACGUGGGAACCCAUGUCCCCACUGGCUGCUCCCUCAAAACAAGCCUCCAUUACUUGAGUGGGAAUGGAAUCUUUGGCCAUUAAAAGAGGUGGCAGGAAAUGCA